AAACUCAAUGGGGACUACACUAAUAGCAAACAGCAGAUGCAAAAUUUGAAUAAAAGGAAAUGUUAUUGGAAUGAAAUUUACCAAAACGUAUAUUAAUUUCAGCAGUUAUAAAAUCGCGAAGAACAAUGUGUAACCCGAUCACUGAAGAACAAAGGUAUGAUUUCUUAAGAAUUACAGUAAAUUAGAUGAAGAUUAGAAGAUCGAAAGUUUUUGAAGUUUUCAGAUAUGGUCGCCUUGGCCGUCAUCAGCGCGGAGAUCUGCCUCAGACUUCUUCUCUGAUCCUUAAGACUCACAUCCUCUAUCGACUAUGAUUAAAGCCCUCCCUCUUCCUUUCUGGUUUCAACUCCUGGUUCUACAUCUAAGAGCUCUGUACAUCCAUUCCCUUUGACACUCUCCAAUCCGAGCUCCGGUCACACCUUGCAUUCUUCAAACGCGAAGAUUUUUGAUCUCAUCAAUCGUUAGUUUAAGUACUAAGUUCGUUGUUAUCGAUGAGGUUGAAGUCUGCAUGUGUGCCCAGCUCAUUGGUUUUCGUGAGAAUUAUAAGUGAAGUAAGGUUAGAGUAAUAAAGUGCAGAAAAUAAACAACACAUAAGUUUUUCUUUUUGAAUUUACUAGAACAAUAAAGCGUUUACACCAAUCUUUUCUAGAUUUUGAUUAAUCAUGAUCACCUAAUCUCAAGCUAAACUCUCCCUAAAUCUAGAUUUCAAUUUUCAACAUUCUGGAAGUACGUCAACAACUACACAAGCACCUAACACAAAAUAGUGACACCAAAAGUUUCAUCACACAAUCAACAAAC
rnacentral:lncRNA from 1 species